CUCGAAUUCAUUCCUGUUGGCUAAAUUAAAAGGACUCCAGCCCACACGAUGCUAACUAAGCACUGAAUGGGGAAUCCCAAAGUAACAGACCCAGAGGAAGAGUCCAGCCUCUCCAUCCGCAAUAAUCCAAUCAGCCUCAGCGGGGAGGCCCGCCGCCCGCACCCCGCAAGAGAAGGCGAGCACCAAGCAGAGCCAACGCACACCACUACUUUCUCUUUUCCUUGCGAGCUAAGUUGAACAGAAUUAAAACGAAAAAAAAAUCCACAC
rnacentral:lncRNA from 1 species